rnacentral:snoRNA from 1 species
UCAAAGUUAGUAUAGUGAGGCAAAUUUCAGAGACAAACAACUCUGUCCCAUGAUGUACAGUUUGUAUCCACAUUGGGGAUGAAGCUGGACUUCAAGUCUGCUUCCUCAUGUUCCUACGACUUCUCAGCAUCCUGUGGACAAUGACUGAGGAGACAAACGAUGCAGAAAACAGUC